rnacentral:SRP_RNA from 1 species
GCCGGGUGUGGUGGUGCGUGCCUGUAAUCCCAGCUACUUGGGAGGCUGAGGCAGGAGAAUUGCUUGAACCUGGGAGGCGGAGGUUGCAGUGAGCCAAGAUUGUUUCACCGGACUCCAGCCUGGGUGACAGAGCAAGACUCUGUCUCAA